CUACGGAGGGUGCAAGCGUUAUUCGGAAUCACUGGGCGUAAAGGACGCGUAGGCGGGUUGGCAAGUCAGAUGUGAAAUCCUACAGCUUAACUGUAGAACUGCAUUUGAAACUGCUAACCUAGAGUAUGGGAGGGGGAGAUGGAAUUAGUGGUGUAGGGGUAAAAUCCGUAGAUAUCACUAGGAAUACCGAAAGCGAAGGCGAUCUCCUGGAGCAUAACUGACGCUAAGGCGUGAAAGCGUGGGGAGCAAACAGGAUUAGAAACCCUAGUAGUCC
rnacentral:rRNA from 1 species